UUGAUGUGCACCUUGAGAAAUGAGAAACGGUGUUAUGUAUGCUAACUACUGUCUACUGUAGGCUAGCUACAGAGUUGUGCCCUCACGUUUCCCUCCAUUUCCCACAUGACAGUUUGUCUGUGACUUAGACGUAAUUUCAAAGAUGAGCUAACUAUGUCAUGCAUUUUAUGGUUGUAGAGUAGCUUACUGAUAUGAGUAGGCUAUGGUUCUGACAAUCUGACAGAAUCGUUCUGUCUUUUUGGGACAGAGUAGGCGUACACCUGACGCAUGUAAAGUACAGCUGCGUUAUAAUUCUGUUUUGCCCCAUAGCAGUUCCACGGUGAAAGCGGAAGUGUGGUACGUGACCAGUGGUCAUAUUUGCGCAGUGCUGUAAGGAUUGCUAGGUGACUGUGGAUCAACCUGACCAACUGCAAGUUCGAGAGCGGAAGUUGACCCAUCUGCUGGAGACGAUGCACUGAUACGUGGAAGGUGUGGGCUGACAUCGAGGAUGUGGUAAUCAAGGCUCUGGUCUCAGCCCACUCAGUGCUCCAGCACAGCUACCACACAUGCUUCUCGUACCACGCCGCCUCCAACACCGCCACCGGGGCCUACUUCGGGAUCCUGGGCUUCGACGUGCUCAUCGACUACCGCCUCAAGCCCUGGCUGUUCGAGAUCAACCAUUCCACUAGCUUCACUACAGACUCCAGGCUGGACAGAGAGGUGAAGGACAGGCUGCUGUAUGACAUGAUGGUGCUGAUUAAGCUGAUUAAGCAAAGCCACUGAGGAAGAGAGGAGCAGGAUCAGAGACUGGCUGCAGCACAUCCGCUCCAAGGAGACAC